UACGAAGGGGGCUAGCGUUGUUCGGAUUUACUGGGCGUAAAGCGCUCGUAGGCGGCUUGUUAAGUCAGAGGUGAAAGCCUGGAGCUCAACUCCAGAACUGCCUUUGAUACUGGCGAGCUCGAGUAUAGCAGAGGUUGGUGGAACUCCGAGUGUAGAGGUGAAAUUCGUAGAUAUUCGGAAGAACACCAGUGGCGAAGGCGGCCAACUGGGCUAUUACUGACGCUGAGGAGCGAAAGCGUGGGGAGCAAACAGG
rnacentral:rRNA from 1 species